GACGAACGCUGGCGGCGCGCUUAACACAUGCAAGUCGAACGGAAAGGCCUGCUUUCCCUUGUGGAUUGCGGGUACUCGAGUGGCGAACGGGUGAGUAACACGUGAGUGAUCUGCCCCCAACUUGGGUAUAAGCCUGGGAAACUGGGUCUAAUUCCCGAUAGGACUGCAGGGUGGUGCCUGUGGUGGCAAACGAUUUUCUAGUGGUUGGGGAUGAGCUCGCGGCCUAUCAGCUUGUUGGUGGGGUAAUGGCCUACCAAGGCGGCGACGGGUAGCCGGCCUGGGAGGGUGGACGGCCACAUUGGGACUGAGAUACGGCCCAGACGCCUACGGGAGGCAGCAGUGGGGAAUAUUGCACGAUGGGCGGAAGACUGAGGCAGCGACGCCGCGUGGGGGAUGACGGCCUUCGGGUUGUAAACUCCUUUCGACCGCGAGGAAGCCACCUGGUUGGAAGGGUGGUGACGGUAGUGGUAGAAGAAGCACCGGCUAACUACGUG
rnacentral:rRNA from 1 species